rnacentral:rRNA from 1 species
AACGCAGCGAAGGGCGAUAAGUAGUGUGAACUGCAGAAUUCAGUGAAUCAUCGAAUUUUUGAACGCACAUUGCGCCCCUUGGUAUCCCGAGGGGCAUGCCUGUUCGAGCGUCAUUUUAAUCUCUCAAGCUUUGCUUGGUAUUGAGCAUCAUUACUUUUCAUUAAGGGUAAUGUGCUUUAAAUAUAGGCAGCGGCAAGUACUAGUUCCAAGCGUAGCAGUUAAAAACAUUUCGCUUAGGAGUCUGGUAUAUUAUCAGCUAUACAAUCUUUACUAUUAUUUGACCUCGGAUCAGGUAGGGAUACCCGCUGAACUUAA